rnacentral:rRNA from 1 species
AUACGUAGGGAGCGAGCGUUGUCCGGAAUUACUGGGUGUAAAGGGAGCGUAGGCGGGAGUGCAAGUCAGAUGUGAAAUACAUGGGCUCAACCCAUGGGCUGCAUUUGAAACUGCAUUUCUUGAGUGAAGUAGAGGUAAGCGGAAUUCCUGGUGUAGCGGUGAAAUGCGUAGAUAUCAGGAGGAACACCGGUGGCGAAGGCGGCUUACUGGGCUUUUACUGACGCUGAGGCUCGAAAGCGUGGGGAGCAAACAGGAUUAGAUACCCUGGUAGUCCACGCUGUAAACGAUGAUUACUAGGUGUGGGGGGACUGACCCCCUCCGUGCCGCAGUUAACACAAUAAGUAAUCCACCUGGGGAGUACGGCCGCAAGGUUGAAACUCAAAUGAAUUGACGGGG